ACGGGGUGCAGCAGGCGCGAAAACUCCGCAAUGCACGAAAGUGUGACGGGGCUACCCCGAGUGCCGUCCGCUGAGGAUGGCUUUUCCUCGGUGUAAUUAGCCGGGGGAAUAAGGAGAGGGCAAGACUGGUGUCAGCCGCCGCGGUAAUACCAGCUCUCCGAGUGGUAGGGAUGAUUAUUGGGCUUAAAGCGUCCGUAGCCGGCUUAGCAAGUCUCCUGUUAAAUUCAGCGACCUAAUCGUUGAGCCGCGGGAGAUACUACUAGGCUAGGAGGCGGGAGAGGCCGACGGUACUCCCGGGGUAGGGGUGAAAUCCUAUAAUCCCGGGCGGACCACCAGUGGCGAAGGCUGUCGGCUAGAACGCGCUCGACGGUGAGGGACGAAAGCUGGGGUAGCGAACCGGAUUAGAUACCCGGGUAGUCCCAGCCGUAAACGAUGCGGGCUAGGUGUUGGGGUGGCUACGUGCCACUUCAGUGCCGCAGGGAAGCCAUUAAGCCCGCCGCCUGGGAGUACGUCGCAAGGC
rnacentral:rRNA from 1 species